rnacentral:tRNA from 1 species
GGCCUCGUAUCUCAGUUGGCUAGAGCGUUGGCUCUAUUGAAGCCUUCCCCUUGCUGGCGUGGGUUCGAAUCCUUCUGAGACCG